rnacentral:rRNA from 1 species
GACGAACGCUGGCGGCGUGCUUAACACAUGCAAGUCGAACGGAAAGGCCCUGCUUUUGUGGGGUGCUCGAGUGGCGAACGGGUGAGUAACACGUGAGUAACCUGCCCUUGACUUUGGGAUAACUUCAGGAAACUGGGGCUAAUACCGGAUAGGAGCUCCUGCUGCAUGGUGGGGGUUGGAAAGUUUCGGCGGUUGGGGAUGGACUCGCGGCUUAUCAGCUUGUUGGUGGGGUAGUGGCUUACCAAGGCUUUGACGGGUAGCCGGCCUGAGAGGGUGACCGGCCACAUUGGGCCUGAGAUACAGCACAGACUCCUACGGGAGGGAGCAGUGGGGAAUAUUGCAAAAUGGGCGGAAGCCGGAUGCAGCAACGCCGCGUGCGGGAUGACGGCCUUCGGGUUGUAAACCGCUUUCGCAUGUGACGAAGCGUGCGUGACGGUAAUGGGUAAAGAAGCACCGGCUAACUACGUG